rnacentral:rRNA from 1 species
UACGUAGGGUGCAAGCGUUGUCCGGAAUUAUUGGGCGUAAAGAGCUCGUAGGCGGUCUGUCGCGUCUGCUGUGAAAACCUAGGGCUUAACUCUGGGCGUGCAGUGGGUACGGGCAGGCUAGAGUGCGGUAGGGGAGAUUGGAAUUCCUGGUGUAGCGGUGAAAUGCGCAGAUAUCAGGAGGAACACCGGUGGCGAAGGCGGGUCUCUGGGCCGAUACUGACGCUGAGGAGCGAAAGCGUGGGGAGCGAACAGG